UGAUAUGGCCUAAGUACCAUAAAGGCCCAUAAUCCCAUCUGAUCUUGGAAGUUAAGCAAGGUCAGACAUAGUCAUUAUUUGGACCUUCAAAGAGUAGCAAGGAUUGUAGGCUAUAGUUC
rnacentral:rRNA from 11 species